GAUGAACGCUGGCGGCGUGCCUAACACAUGCAAGUCGAACGGAGUCGUUUUGGAAAUCUCUUCGGAGAUGGAAUUCUCGACUUAGUGGCGGACGGGUGAGUAACGCGUGAGCAAUCUGCCUUUAAGAGGGGGAUAACAGUCGGAAACGGCUGCUAAUACCGCAUAAAGCAUUAAAUUCGCAUGUUUUUGAUGCCAAAGGAGCAAUCCGCUUUUAGAUGAGCUCGCGUCUGAUUAGCUAGUUGGCGGGGUAACGGCCCACCAAGGCGACGAUCAGUAGCCGGACUGAGAGGUUGAACGGCCACAUUGGGACUGAGACACGGCCCAGACUCCUACGGGAGGCAGCAGGGGGGAAUAUUGCGCAAUGGGGGAAACCCUGACGCAGCAACGCCGCGUGAUUGAAGAAGGCCUUCGGGUUGUAAAGAUCUUUAAUCAGGGACGAAACAAAUGACGGUACCUGAAGAAUAAGCUCCGGCUAACUACGUG
rnacentral:rRNA from 1 species